GAAAUGCGAUAAGUAGUGUAAAUUAUAAAAUUUAGUAAAUUAUUAAAUCUUUAAACGCACAUUGCGCCCCUUAGUAUUCUAUAGGGUAUGCCUGUUUGAGCGUUAUCUACACCCUUAAGCUCUACUUAGUGUUGGGUGUCUGUCCCGCCUUCGCGCGUAGACUUGCCCAAAUAUAUUAGUAGUGGUCUUUAUUUUCUCCUGCGUAGUAUAUUGCGCUUUUUGAGGCUGUGGCGGCCUGCGUCUAAUAAGCUAAACCCCCCCGUCUUUGACCUCGGAUCAGGUAGGGAUACCCGCUGAACUUAAGC
rnacentral:misc_RNA from 1 species